GGUUACGUCAAGACUCACGGUUAUUAACCGUAGGCUUUUCUUCUCUACUGAAAGUGCUUUACAACCCGCAGGCCUUCUUCACACACGCGGCAUUGCUGGAUCAGGCUUGCGCCCAUUGUCCAAUAUUCCCCAC
rnacentral:rRNA from 1 species